UGUGCCCAGAUAAAAAAAAGACAGCAUUAGGUAUUAACUAUAGUUUUAUCAGUUCAUGUAAUGAAAUAUUAUUUUUAAAUUAAGACAUAUUGCAUCAACAUUUAUGUACAUCCACACAUAUUUUCCCGAUCAUAUAUCAAAAACAAUAAUUUAUAUACAUGUACCUAUCAAACAUGUGAGGGUAUAUACGUAUCGAUUCAUGAAAGUUAUGUGUCGUGACAUCCCUAUUAGAAAGUCACUUGAACAUCAUCAUUUUCUCCUUUCACCUUGUUCUUGGCAUACAGGUAGCCAUCUAGAAGGGUGAUCGGAAAAUAGUCAUAGGAAAAAUGUCAUGGAAAAAAGUCAUGGGAAAAAAGUCAUAGGAAAAAUAACAAUUUCCUAUGACUUUUUUUCCUACAACCUGGUAGCGAUGGGUCAGUAAAAGGAUUAGUAAUAUCUUUUGAGAAGGGCACAGGAGACAAGAGUGUAUUGUUACUAUACUCUAUAGUGACUCUGGGUCAGCUCCUUAAUUAUAUAGGGGUGGACAGCAUAGCUCAGCUAAUUCGUGUACUCAUUGAGUCUGUCUUAUGGGAGGUCUGUCUUUUGGGAGUGAACCAUUGAAAGUGAAUAUAAUGUAAUAUUUGUGUGUACCAAGUAUUCAGAUUUACGACGUGAGUAUUUAUCAUUUAUAUCAGCACCUGUAAGAGAUAAACAAAUACUGUCCUGUCUGUUUAAUUCUAAGAAUAUUGAUGUUAUCAAAUCUAUUGCAGUUUAUUUAAAAUAUGUUUUCAAUGCAUGAAACGUCACCACCACGUGCAUCUAUCUGUAGCAAGUGUAUUUGUACCAUAGGCCUUUAGGCCCGAAAAACUGAAUAAAAUGAAUCUGAAUCUGAAAAUCUAUUGGAAUUUGUCCUAAGUAGCAUGAAAUAUUUCUUGAUCAUAGUUUCCCAUUCAAAAGCGCGAUAGUAAUACUUUCCAAUUCACAGACGUCUAUGACUGUUCACGCAUAACGUGUUGUUUUAACACUGAAUACGAGUAUGAACAUUCUUCAUUUCGUAUAUGUCUUGUUGAAAACAAUCUUUACAUCUUUGUUGUACGAUGGAUAAAUCUGAAAACACCCCUAGCUCCCUGUCCAAUCGACUCAUAUCCAAGACCCAGCUGAAACAGUGUGGUGUUAUUGAAUAUUGUCCAGUUAUUUCAUAGGUUUGGAUGAAUAGCGGUCAAGACGCACUGAGUUGAGUUUUAACCAAUAUAAGACAGGACGUUUCAGAGCCAAUGCAUAUAUAGGGUAUCUUCCGCGUUCCCUUAGUACAGUUCCCGUGUGGCUGAUGUCGAGAAAUGUUUACAUGCUUGUGACUGUAUUUAUUUUACUUUACACAUUUGAACACCCCAAAUCUCAGAAUCAUACUGUGGAAUUGUCAGGAUUUUACAGUCAAAAGUUUCAUGUAAGGUUUCUAUAGAAUAGCCUACCAAGAUAUAGUUGCACGGUGAUGACACGUUCAUUGGAUUUGUACGUCCACUGUACUAUUGUAGAUUGUAUUUCUAAAUACUACAAUUCUUGUUUUGUCUGUAUUUGCUUGAACAUGAAUCAUGGAUUUUUGAAACAUGGCAUCGAUACACCCUUCGAUCAUUAGUGCUUCAAAUACAGCAUAUAUCCAUGUCUCUGAUUUGUAUCAAUAUCAGACAAAUGAAAUGUAAUAUUCAUUAACUUUUGUCUGACCUUCAUUUGUACAUUUAGCUUGAUAAAUUUAAUAAAAGGAUAAAGUUAA
rnacentral:lncRNA from 1 species